rnacentral:lncRNA from 1 species
GGAAACCACUCAACCACCCAGGUCAUUUAAUCAUUCUUUUGUAAAAGCAUGGAUGAUUUUCGCUAGCUUCUCGUUUUGAAGAAGAAUUGCGUAAUUCUUAUCAGGUGCCGGACUUCUUAAAUGCUACAAUUAAUGGCUUGCCUGUCAAAGAGGUCAUCAAGGAUCACAAAUGGUUAGAGGAAGAGUUUACCGAAAGUAUCCAGAAGGUAAGAUGGAACAUAUAUAUCUAUAAUUCGACAGUGUCUCUAAUACCAUAUCUGCUCCUCAUUUUCAAAUACUAUCCAAUUCGCAGAGAGGAGGGGUGCUUAUAAAAAAAUGGGGAAGAUCGUCAGCUGCAUCAACUGCCGUGUCAAUUGCAGAUGCCAUGAAGUCUUUGGUUACUCCUACCCCUGAGGGCGA